GGCCCAAAUCUGAAGUAGGGUAGAUCAGUAAGGUCAGCUGAUUCUACUGUUUCACUGUAUCUCAAAAUUGGGCCG
rnacentral:pre_miRNA from 1 species